AUUGAACGCUGGCGGCAGGCCUAACACAUGCAAGUCGAGCGGAUGAAGGGAGCUUGCUCCUGGAUUCAGCGGCGGACGGGUGAGUAAUGCCUAGGAAUCUGCCUGGUAGUGGGGGAUAACGUCCGGAAACGGGCGCUAAUACCGCAUACGUCCUGAGGGAGAAAGUGGGGGAUCUUCGGACCUCACGCUAUCAGAUGAGCCUAGGUCGGAUUAGCUAGUUGGUGGGGUAAAGGCCUACCAAGGCGACGAUCCGUAACUGGUCUGAGAGGAUGAUCAGUCACACUGGAACUGAGACACGGUCCAGACUCCUACGGGAGGCAGCAGUAGGGAAUAUUGGACAAUGGGCGAAAGCCUGAUGGAGCCACGCCGCGUGAGUGAAGAAGGUCUUCGGAUUGUAAAGCACUGUAAGUUGGGAAGAAGAACAGUAAGUGAAAAUCUUGCUGUUUUGACGUUACCAACAGAAAAAGCACCGGCUAACUACGUG
rnacentral:rRNA from 1 species